GAUGAACGCUGGCGGCGUGCCUAAUACAUGCAAGUCGAGCGAACAGACGAGGAGCUUGCUCCUCUGACGUUAGCGGCGGACGGGUGAGUAACACGUGGAUAACCUACCUAUAAGACUGGGAUAACUUCGGGAAACCGGAGCUAAUACCGGAUAAUAUAUUGAACCGCAUGGUUCAAUAGUGAAAUACGGUUUUGCUGGCACUUAUAGAUGGAUCCGCGCCGCAUUAGCUAGUUGGUAAGGUAACGGCUUACCAAGGCAACGAUGCGUAGCCGACCUGAGAGGGUGAUCGGCCACCCGGGAACUGAGCCACGGUCCAGACUCCUAAGGGAGGCAGCAGUAGGGAAUCUUCCGCAAUGGGCGAAAGCCUGACGGAGCAACGCCGCGUGAGUGAUGAAGGUCUUCGGAUCGUAAAACUCUGUUAUUAGGGAAGAACAAAUGUGUAAGUAACUAUGCACGUCUUGACGGUACCUAAUCAGAAAGCAACGGCUAACUACGUG
rnacentral:rRNA from 1 species